rnacentral:snRNA from 2 species
GUGCUCGCUUCGGCAGCACAUAUACUAAAAUUGGAACAACACAGAGAAGAUUAGCAUGGCCCCUGCACAAGGAUGACACGCAAAUUCAUGAAGCAUUCCAUAUUUUU